GGCCCAAAGUUCUAAAGAGAAUUCAGGGGAAAGGGAAAUCAUGUCUGAUUAGCAUGAUCAAGAAAAUCUCUGUGGAAGACACGUUUGGGCCAAGCCUAUUAAGGGAUGUUGUAACAGGCCAAGGUGGAGAAUGUUUUACUGGGAAAGGCUCCUAGAUGAAUUUGUUUUCAGGCUGAACCUAGUGCUGUUUCAAGACGCAGAAAGCUCUCUGCAGAUGCUGAAAGAACGAUGGAGGAGUGAAUGAAUGCAUGAGGGAAACUGAAAACAUCCGUCUUGAGGAAGGGUCCAUAAGUUUCACGAGCUUUUCAUGGAGAUGUCACAGGCACCUUGACGGCUGAGUUCUGAAAUAUGUUUAAUUUAUUCUAAAACAGCUGACCACAAGGUAAACAUGUGGCCAAGAAACAGGUACUGUAAAAGCGACUAAAGCUGCAAAGACCAAAGCACAGAGUCCAGGUUUUAUUGCUUCUAAUGGCUGAGGGGGUGAUAAGGGCAAGUGAGUGUGGAUUGGCACAGCAGAAGCAAGCGUUUUGCAAGGUUCAUGGUCAAAUUCGUAAGUAGCUCAUCUUUUGAAAAAUACUCUGGUGCUAUGAGUGAUAAAAGUAUAAGACAGAGACCCC
rnacentral:lncRNA from 1 species